rnacentral:rRNA from 1 species
AUUGAACGCUGGCGGCAUGCCUUACACAUGCAAGUCGAACGGCAGCGGACCUUCGGGUGCCGGCGAGUGGCGAACGGGUGAGUAAAGUAUCGGAACGUACCUUUCAGUGGGGGAUAACGUAGCGAAAGUUACGCUAAUACCGCAUAUUCUGUGAGCAGGAAAGCAGGGGAUCGCAAGACCUUGCGCUGAUUGAGCGGCCGAUAUCAGAUUAGCUAGUUGGUGAGGUAAAAGCUCACCAAGGCGACGAUCUGUAGCGGGUCUGAGAGGAUGAUCCGCCACACUGGAACUGAGACACGGUCCAGACUCCUACGGGAGGCAGCAGUGGGGAAUUUUGGACAAUGGGGGCAACCCUGAUCCAGCCAUGCCGCGUGAGUGAAGAAGGCCUUCGGGUUGUAAAGCUCUUUCGGCCGGGAAGAAAUCGCGCCAGUUAAUACCUGGUGUGGAUGACGGUACCGGAAUAAGAAGCACCGGCUAACUACGUGCCAGCCGCCGCGGUAAUAC